ensembl:lncRNA
CAGAAUCACUCCAGAAUCAUGCUGUGACACCAUACUGUCAACAAGGUCACCAUAUAAUUUCUUGUGUGCUUACAUAUAUCUUGCGAUAAAAUGAAUUGUUUGCUUUAUAAUUUCUUGUGUGCUUACAUAUAUCCUAAGAUAAAGUAAAUUGGUUACCUUAUAACUUCUUGUGUACUUACAUAUAUCUUAUGAUAAAGAAAAUUGGUUUCUUUAUAACUUCUUGUGUACCUCUUAUGAGAAAGUAAAUUGCUUACUUUAGAUAUUCUUAUGUGUUAAAAUUGUGUGCCUUAAAAUGUCUUACCAUAGAGCAAACUGGUUACAUUAUAUACCUUUUUUAUGUAGUAAAUUGAAUGCUUAAACAUGUCUCCUUGUGGAGAAACAUUGGAAGAAUACAAAGAACCUGUGUCCCUUUAGACCCCAUGAUGUAUGAACACUAGGCACAUGAUAGCAUGUGCACAACUUCAAGCUUCUUGUGUUGCCCCUCGGGCAAAAUAGGGGAAACUCGGGGAUGUUUGUCAAAGGAUCUUUUGUUAUCAGGAGAGUAAAACAGGGAAAUCUGCAGAGAAAGCUCAGUUAGUUCGUUGGUCGUUGGUCUUUUUGGUUCUCUGCUGUCGGUGUGGUGGUGUCGUGUGUUCUCCUCUGCUCUGCCCUGCUCUUCUGCUUCCAAAAAACAGUGGCCUUCAUAGCAAUAGAUUUUUUAUCUUAAGGACUCUGGCACCGUAGCGCUCGGUUCAGACUCUAUUUUCUUUUUAGUUUAGAUUUACAAACCCAACCUCGGGCUCCACCCGAGAGAAACGUUGGUACCUAAAUUUACAAACCCAACCUCGGGCUCCACCCGAGAGAAACGUUGGUACUUUUAAUAGGAAUCUUCUUUAGCACUAGCUUAGUCACAAGCGUGAUUAAACAAAGGCAACUCUCGGGGUCGUGCGGUGUAUUGGGGCACGAGAGUUGCGUCAACGUUAAAACCUGGGCUCCACUUGGGAAACGUUGUUAAACAUAGACUUAGAAACCCAACCUUGGCUCCACCCGAGAGAAACGUUGGUACCUAGACUUAGAAACCCAACCUUGGCUCCACCCGAGAGAAACGUUGGUACCUAGACUUAGAAACCCAACCUUGGAAUCCACCCGAGAGAAACGUUGGUACUUUUAAUAAGCCAUUAUUCAUCUAUUUUCUUCUUAUUUUACUAUCUUUUCUUUUCAAAUCUAUACUCAGUUGUAAAAGUGAUUGUGUUUAUUGGACCAAAGAAUAAAUCUACCUGACUACAUUUGUAGUAGGUAAACUCAAUCGUUCGAGUCCUUUUCCCUGUCGACUCCUCGACACAGGCAAAGCAGAACGACGCGCUCUCCCAGCUGAUCCCCUCACGAGACGGAGAGCGGCACGACCUCGGGACCCCGGAGCACCGGACCGAUUCCUGCAGUCUCACCUCGCGAUCGCCCAACAAAAGCAAGAGAAACACAAAGUUCCAGGGCCAGAGGAGGAGCCAGAUGCAGACACGCCCGGAGCCGACCAACUACCCAAGGAUGAUGCAAUCAGAUUUCGGCAGGGAUGGAUGGAGAGCCCAGUGAGCGAUGGGCACUACAGGUGCAGCGGGUGCCGUCCAGGCUUACCUUGGGAUCGAGUAUACACCGGAGAGUUUGGACGAGGGACCACCAGAGAGGCCCGACCUGAUCUGGCUGGAGAACAUGGAACAGACCCCUGCCCCACUGUCCAAGAGCCCCCACGCAAUGCAGCGCACCAAUACAUGAAGAUCAUCCGGCCCCUGCCCCACUGUCCAAGAGCCCCCACGCAAUGCAGCGCACCAAUACAUGAAGAUCAUACGGCCCCUGCCCCACUGUCCAAGAGCCCCC